rnacentral:rRNA from 1 species
CGACUCUCGGCAACGGAUAUCUCGGCUCUCGCAUCGAUGAAGAACGUAGCGAAAUGCGAUACUUGGUGUGAAUUGCAGAAUCCCGUGAACCAUCGAGUUUUUGAACGCAAGUUGCGCCCAAAGCCAUUAGGCUAAGGGCACGUCUGCCUGGGCGUCACGC